rnacentral:rRNA from 1 species
UUUGAUCCUGGCUCAGAACGAACGCUGGCGGCGUGGAUUAGGCAUGCAAGUCGAACGGGAUCCUUGGAACGGACGCUUCGGUUGAAGUUCCUUGGUGAGAGUGGCGAACGGGUGAGUAACGCGUGGGCAAUCUGCCCUUGAGUUCGGGACAGCUCCGGGAAACUGGAGGUAAUACCGAAUGUGGUCGUCUUCCGCAUGGGAGACUGUCUAAAGGUGGGGAUCUUCGGACCUACCGCUCUUGGAUGAGCCCGCGUCCCAUCAGCUAGUUGGUAGGGUAAUGGCUUACCAAGGCUUCGACGGGUAGCUGGUCUGAGAGGAUGGUCAGCCACACUGGGACUGAGACACUGCCCAGACUCCUACGGGAGGCUGCAGUCGAGAAUCAUUCGCAAUGCACGAAAGUGUGACGAUGCGACGCCGCGUGUAGGAUGAAGGCCUUCGGGUUGUAAACUACUGUCAGGAGGGAAAAAUGGCUUUGUGGUUAAUAUCCAUAGAGCGUGAUGGUACCUCCAGAGGAAGUCACGGCUAACUCUGUGCCAGCAGCCGCGGUAAUACAGAGGUGGCAAGCGUUGUUCGGAUUUACUGGGCGUAAAGGGUGCGUAGGCGGCGCGGUAUGUCGGAAGUGAAAUCUCACGGCUCACCCGUGAAAUGGCUUCCGAAACUACCGUGCUAGAGUACGGGAGAGGAGAGUGGAACUCUUGGUGUAGCGGUGAAAUGCGUAGAUAUCAAGAAGAACACCGGUGGCGAAAGCGACUCUCUGGACCGAUACUGACGCUGAGGCACGAAAGCUGGGGGAGCAAAGAGGAUUAGAUACCCUCGUAGUCCCAGCCGUAAACGUUGUGAACUUGGUGUCGGGGUUGUCCCCCUCGGUGCCGAGCUAACGCAUUAAGU